rnacentral:tRNA from 1 species
CGGCGAGUAGCGCAGCUUGGUAGCGCAACUGGUUUGGGAUCAGUAGGUCAGAGGUUCGAAUCCUCUCUCGCCGACCA